UCCACGAAGCCGGUCCCAACAAAGUGAUGCCGGCGUGAUCGAAAUGGCAUGUCUCUCGGUCAACAUCCCACCGCCGAGCACUGAUUUCGUUGACCCGCAGCUCCUUCGCAGGCCCGCACCUUCGCACCAUCACGGCCCAGCAGUUGGGCCCGUAUCCAACCAGCAUCAACAGCCCACGAAUUCACCCACAAGCCCAUCUUUAGCCCAAGUGAUUUUCAGCCCAUUUCCAGCAGAUUUUGAAGCCCAAGCUCGGGCCCAAGUUCGGUUGGUUUUAGCCCAUUUGAAGUUCAGCCCAUUUUGGGCCCGAAGAAGGCCCAAGCCCGCGACCAGCAGCCUUGCAGAAGCCCAAGACCGAAACUCAGCCUUGCUGAGUUGUGUUGGGCCAGUCCUAGGCCCAGUCCAAGUCCGCCGACGCCGCCGAAAAUUUGAUUUUCAGCCGCCGUCGUGUCGUCAUCGUCGUAGUGAACCGAUUUUCACGAUACACCGAAGAAGAAACAGCAGCACCGAGAGAAGAAAUCGGGAGCAGCUCACCGUUGCCGCCCGCGCGUCGCCCGCGCACUCCGCUGCCGCCUGAACGCCCUCCGCCUCUCCCUCACCCUCCUUAGCCACAGUUGACUCCUUCUUUCUCCCUCUGUUCUGUGCGAAGACCAACAAAAGCAGAGGCAGCGACCAGCGUCGCCUGAAGGGCCGCAGCCACAUCGGACCACCGCCUGGUCGACCGGACGGCGUCGUUCCGCCGUCCACCACCAUCACCGAGCUGCCGUCCCUCACCUCACACUAGUCCAGUGCCGUUCAACCUCCAUUCGCCUCUGCCCAGCCUUGUUCGACCACCUCAGGCCGCCGCCCGACCACCUUCGGCCACCGUCGGCCUCGUUGGAGUUCCGCCUCACCCUCCGUCACCCUUGCUCGCUGCAACCGGCCCCGGAUCUGCCCCAACCAGCAGCAAACAGAGAGGUUCGAAAAUGGGUAUGGCAGCACCUUCGUGGCUCGUUUUGGCCACCGUCCCGACCCCGGAUGCUCGGCCCGCCUUGAGGAAAGUCGAUUCUCGCGUCAAUUCCGUCGUUUUGAGACCCUAAUGAAGAACCUGAGGAGAAAGAACCCGAAGAUGAGUAUCUGAAGGAAUACCCCGAGCAUGAUCCAGAGUAGGAUCCUAAUGACUUUUGCUGUAGAAUCAAUUUGAGUAGAAACCAACUGUUUUAGUAUGGCUUGUAUAUGUACAUGUAUGAAUGAGUCGUUAUAGAUGUACAUAAGGGUGUUGGUUUUCAAGUUCAAGUUUCUAAUCUACUUGUAUAUCACAUAGCUUUAUUGUCUGGAGAUUUUUAUAACUUC